UUAUCAGACUUGUCACAAGGUUGUUCUAACAAGUCUGAUACAGUCAUGAUAAACAAGAAUGUUACAAGGUUGACGACACAAGGUUGUAACAAUACUGCUAUAUCAUGACUGUAUCGGACUUGUUGGAACAACUUUGUCACAAGCCUGAUAA